UUGCGCAAUGGGCGAAAGCCUGACGCAGCAACGCCGCGUGAGCGAAGAAGGCCUUCGGGUUGUAAAGCUCUGUCAGGGGGAAAGAAGGCACCUGGGUUAACAGCCCAAGGGCUGACGGUACCUCCAAAGGAAGCCACGGCUAACUACGUGCCAGCAGCCGCGGUAAUACGUAGGUGGCCAGCGUUCUCCGGAAUCAUUGGGCGUAAAGAGCGCGUAGGUGGCUUGGCAAGUCUGAUGUGAAAACCUGGGGCUUAACUCCAAGCCUGCGUCGGUGACUGGCUUGCUAGAGUCUGGGGGAGGAGGGUGGAAUUCCUGGUGUAGCGGUGAAAUGCGUAGAUAUCAGGAGAAACACCGGUAGCGAAGGCGGCUCUCUGGAACAGUACUG
rnacentral:rRNA from 1 species